UCGGGAAUUUUGGGCAAUGGGGGAAACCCUGACCCAGCAACGCCGCGUGAGGGAUGAAGGCCUUCGGGUCGUAAACCUCUGUCGAGAGGGAAGAACGGUCGUCGGUCGAACAGGCCGGCGGCUUGACGGUACCUCCAAAGGAAGCACCGGCUAACUCCGUGCCAGCAGCCGCGGUAAUACGGAGGGUGCGAGCGUUGUUCGGAAUCAUUGGGCGUAAAGCGCGUGUAGGCGGCUUGGUAAGUCGGAUGUGAAAGCCCGGGGCCCAACCCCGGAAUUGCAUUCGAAACUGCCUCGCUGGAGUCCCGGAGAGGGUGGCGGAAUUCCCAGUGUAGAGGUGAAAUUCGUAGAUAUUGGGAAGAACACCGGCGGCGAAGGCGGCCACCUGGACGGCGACUGACGCUGAGACGCGAAAGCGUGGGGAGCAAACAGGAUUAGAUACCCCCGUAGUCC
rnacentral:rRNA from 1 species